CCUGGCGGUAUGCUUUCACAUGCAACUCGAGCGGCAACACGGGGCAACCUGGCGUUCCAGCGGCGAAAGGGUGAGUAAUGCAUCGGAACAUGUCCAUGUCGUGGGGGAUAGCCCGGCGAAAGCCGGAUUAAUACCGCAUACGCCCGAGAGGGGAAAGUGGGGGACCGCAAGGCCUCACGCGAUUGGGUUGGCCGAUGUCCGAUUAGCUAGUUGGUGGGGUAAAGGCCUACCAAGGCGAUGAUCGGUAGCUGGUCUGAGAGGAUGAUCAGCCACACUGGGACUGAGACACGGCCCAGACUCCUACGGGAGGCAGCAGUGGGGAAUUUUGGACAAUGGGGGCAACCCUGAUCCAGCCAUUCCGCGUGAGUGAAGAAGGCCUUCGGGUUGUAAAGCUCUUUUGUCCGGAACGAAACGGUGCUCGUGUAAUAUCCGAGCGCUACUGACGGUACCGGACAAAUAAGCACCGGCUAACUACGUGCCAACAACCGCGGUAAUACGUCCGGUGCCAGCGUUAAAUCGGAAUUACUGGGCCGUAAAGCCGUGCGCCAAGCCG
rnacentral:rRNA from 1 species